ensembl:lincRNA
AUGAUGUCUUGUGAUUAUUCUCAGGCAAGCCAUAAGAAGAAAGGAAACAAAACUCCUGUUCUGACCCACAACCUGGUCAGAUUUGGCUCCAGGACUCUUGUGGGAGCCAAGAGGGCAACAGAUGUUUCUAAGCAGGAGGAGGCAGCUGGAGUUAUGUAUCAGAAAAGGGUGAGUGAAGAUCCUGAAUGUUUACUACUUGCUAUUCUCUAACCAGGGAAAAGAGGAUAUAGCCAAGGGCAUCCUCAGCCAGAAUGUAACUUGGUUUGAGAUGGCCCUAUUUAUCGUGAACAGAAGAAGAGGUCUGUAGUCAUAGGGGAAAAUCCUAAGUAGGUGUCUCUCCGUAGAUAGCUUUGAUCAAUAGUCUUUAUUAAAGUAAACUCUGAUGCAUAUUUUAGCCUCUGAAAUUGAGAUGUGUCUUAGAAUUGGUGAUUUCUUACCAUGGUGUCACAGUUGAUUUGACAACAUUUUUUUUCUUAAGAGUGUAUUUUAAAAAAAUCAGUGGCACUUUGGAGUUAAUGAAAUGUAGUGGUUGAAAGAGUUGCGUGAGCUUUGUAUCAUAUUAACUGUUGCUUAUAAUUGUUUUUCAUUAGCUAAAACUUUGGCUUCAUUUAAAUUUUUAAAAUUAUCAUUCAGCAAAAUAAGCUUUCAAGGUGGAAGUAUGUAUAGCUCUAUGAAUUUUAGCCAGGUAUAGAUUUAUGGAAUCACGCCCAAUUAGAAUACAGAAGUUUCAUUAUCCCCCAAAGCGCCCUUGUGCUAUUUCUUUAUAGACCCCUCCAACUGUGUACUUUCCUCUAUGCACCUCUAUACUUGAAUCAAAAUGUUUAUAACAACAACAAAAAAGUAGUAGGGACUGGGCUUGCAAGUUGAGGGUUUAGAUGAGGAAUUUUACUUUUUGUUUUGUAACUUUGUUGUAUUUUCCCUAGUAUGUAUUAUCUAUACUAUAUCUAUGUAUCUAUAUCUAUGUCUGACUUUAAGGAAUUUUCAUCAUGUCAACUAUAACAAAGGAAAGAAGUGGACUUCCUUGUAUGCACAUGGUGAAGAUGCUAAGACAUCUUGUAAGAGGAAAAGCAAGUUAUAAACAGUGUGUUAUAAUAUGCUUUAAAAAAAAAAAGACUGGAAAGCUAUACACCAAUUGACUUGGUAGCAUUUUUUUUCCCUAAUAGUAUCUCUAAGGAUCAUAUUUAUAUUAGGGGGUUGGGAUUUCAUUUUCAAAAUCAUAUUUUUCCAUAUAGGGCUUUGUCAUAAUGAACAUAUAUUAAUUUGAUAAUUAUAAACAGCAAUAAAUAAAUAGGAAAGUCAUUUAUAAAAAUGGCAAUAAAAUUCAUGGACACAAAAAUUUUUAAAGAUAUUUUGGUCAAUGCAAGGAUAUCUAUGCUCCUUGAGAUCUCUUUGAGGUCAUAAUUUAUUUAUUUUUGCAACAUCCAUGGUAUCUGGUGCAUGAUCAGUGCUCACUGCUAUUUAAAAUCAAAUGUCUGUAAGGUUCAUCCAUGUUGUCACAUUUCUUAGAACUCCAUGCCUUUUUACAGCUGAAUAAUAUUCCUUUGUGUGUAUAUAUUACAUUUUGUUUAUUCAUUCAUAAGCAUGAGCCUUGAAGAUACCAUGUUGAGUGAAAUAAGCCAGUCACAAAAGGACAACUAUUGUAUGCUCUCACUGAUAUGAAAUAAUAAGAAUAAGCAAACUCAAAGAGUCAGAAUCUAGAAUACAGUUUACCAGGGGACAGAGUAGGGGUAGGGAAGGAGUUAAGGCUUAAAAUGUACAGAGUUUCUAUUUGGGAUGAUGGAAAAGUUUUGGUAAAGGAUGAUGGUGAUGGUAGCACAAUGUUAUGACUGUAAUUAUAUAACUGAAUGUGCUCUGAAUUAUAUAUCUGAAUGUGCUUAAAAGGGGAAAGUUUAGGUUGUAUAGAGGUUAGUAGAAUAAAAUUUUUAAAAAAAUCCAUGGAACUUCCCAACACAAAGUGACUCCUAAGUUAAACCAUGGUCUAUAGUUAAUAGUACAAUUAUAAAAAGGUGUGUUAGAGAAGCAGAUGUAGCUCAGGUGAUAGAGCUUCCGCCUACCAUAUAAGAGGACCUGGGUUUGAUCCCUGGGGCCUCCUGGUGAAAAGAAGAGAAAGCGUGCCUGCGCAGUGAGCCAGUGCUUGUGCAAGUGCCUGCAUGAUGAACCAGUGCCCCAUGCAAGUGAGUCACACAGCAAGAUGAUGACGCAUCAAAAGAGAGACAAGGGGAGAGUCAAGGUGAAGCGCAGCUGAAACCAGGAACUGAGGUGACACAAUUGACAGGGAACCUCUCUCCCCAUCAGAGGUCUCCAGGAUCAAAUCCUGGUGAAUCCUAGAGAAGAGAAUAUGAGACGAGAAGACAACACAGACAGCAAAAACAGCAGGGCGGGAGGAGGAAAGGGGGGGGGGAAUAAAUAAAUAAAUAAAU